CCGUUGACUUGGAUGGCGACAGACACAGGAGUAGCAGCACUUGAGGGAGGAAAAACUAGAAGUUCUGUUUUGGACAGGUUGAGUUUAAGGAAGUGAGCAGCCAUCCAGUUGGAAAUAGCAGAGAGGCAGUCAGAAACACGAGUCAAGGUGGGCGGAGAGAGAUCAGGGGAGGACAGGUAGAUUUGCGUGUCAUCUGCAUAUAAAUGGUAUUGGACGCCAAAAGAGCUGAUGAGUUUACCAAGGGAGGCAGUAUAGAUAGAACAGUAGGGGGCCGAGGGCAGAACCUUGGGGGAUGCCGACAGGGAGGGGUUGGGGAGAAGAGGCAGAGCCAGAGAAAGAAACACUGAAGGAGCGCUGGGAGAGGUAGGAGGAGCACCAGGAGAGAGCAGAAUCCCGUAGACCAAAGUUACGGAGAAUGUGAAGAAGCUGUUGAUGAUCAACAGUGUCAAAGGCGGCAGAGAGAUCAAGGAGGAUUAGGAUAGAGUAUUGGCCGCGAGAUUUAGCAGCAAUUAAAUCGUUGGAUACUUUGGUCACAGCAGUUUCGACAGAGUGACCAGCGCGGAAUCCAGACUGAAGGGGGUCAAGCAGAGAGUUGGAUUCAAGAAAGUCUGUCAAUCUGGCGUAGACAACUCUCUCGAGGAUCUUGGAGGCAAAUGGCAG